GAUGAACGCUGGCGGCGUGCUUAACACAUGCAAGUCGAGCGAGAAGUUUUGAAAAGAUUCUUCGGAUGAAAUUUAAAAUGGAAAGCGGCGGACGGGUGAGUAACGCGUAGGCAACCUGCCCCAUACAAAGGGAUAGCAUUUGGAAACGAAUAUUAAUACCUUAUGAAACUUAACUAGUGCAUGCUAGGUAGGUCAAAGAUUUAUCGGUAUGGGAUGGGCCUGCGUCUGAUUAGCUAGUUGGUGAGGUAACGGCUCACCAAGGCGACGAUCAGUAGCCGGCCUGAGAGGGUGAACGGCCACAUUGGAACUGAGACACGGUCCAAACUCCUACGGGAGGCAGCAGUGGGGAAUAUUGCACAAUGGGGGAAACCCUGAUGCAGCAACGCCGCGUGAACGAUGAAGGCCUUUGGGUCGUAAAGUUCUGUUCUAGGUGAUGAAAACUGACAGUAACCUAGGAGAAAGCCCCGGCUAACUCCGUG
rnacentral:rRNA from 1 species